AGACCAGCUGCGAUGCUUUUGCUUUAUGAACUCGUCUUCUCCGCCCACCCACCCACGGAAAAUUCUCCCGGCUUGUUGGUGGUUACUUCCUAAACAUCCCUAGAAAUCACCCCUUCAAUCUGAAUUGCCUUCAUGGGCCUUGAGGGUCCCACGCUGAGCUCACCGGCUGAUCCUUCUCUCCUGUGGCUCCUCGGAGUCCCUCCCAGAGUCUCCAUGUUGAGAUGCACCACGUUUGAUCCUGCCUCAGUACCUUUCCAUCUGGUGUACUGGCUACCCAGAACACUCCUUCCUCCAGUGCCUGGCACUGAAGUGCCUACUUAAUAAACAUUUGAUGAGUAAAUGAAUGAUUUUGACAGUAGCCAGGCGCUUACAGCAAAAAUGAGGUAAUGCAGCGCAUUGUGAAGAACUCGUGAGGAAACAGAUCUGGAUUCCUGUCCCAGAUCUGUCACCAACCAGCAGUGUGACCUUAGGGCCCACUAGGCUCUUCUGUCCAUGGGAUUUCUCCAGCAAGAAUACAGGAGCGGGCUGCC